UCUCUUCUUUGAAAUUUGAUAGAUUUAUCUCCCAAUUGUCCCAUCGGUUUGACCGAUUUUGAGUCCUUCAUCUUACUCUGAAGAAUUUGAAGAAGGAUAAUCACCCAGACACUCAGAUCGUUUUAACUUCAUAUGACAAAACACUGUAUCGAUUGGAGUCUUUGAAGUUAUUCACAGUCCAAGUUUUGAGGGAAACAGUGCGGAGAGUUUGAGAAUUAGUUCAGUUUGGGGCAUUUUCAAGAAGCGAAGAGACUUAGUAUUGCAAAUUUCAGAAAUGGGAAAAGGCAGGCUGUUUUGACAAUCUUACAGGGAGGGGUUUGGACAGGAAGCAAAGAGAAAAGGUUUCGAACAACAAUUUGGAGGAAGGGAAUUAGCUAUUAGACAAGUAACACUGCUUUUCUGUUUUUCCGGUUCGGGAUUUUGCUGCUUUUUCUUCAGAAGGAACAGAAGUUAUAACCUUCUCAUUGGUUUUGAUAAUUGUGAAUCUUUCUAAUUCUAGACUGCAGAUCUUUGCUGUACUUGGAUUUUCUUGAAGGCAUCAAACCAACCAUCAUUACAGUAUUACACAGAUGUGCCACUUUGAUCCAAGUGUCUAGGCCAAUCAAUCAUUCUACUUUCUGCAGCUUCUGUCUUCAAAUCGUCUGUUGCAUAUGAAAACCGGGUGCUGGAGCUGAAGGGGCCACUUGAACUCUUAAAGGGCGUUAGAGCAGAAGAAUGUACGUGCAGUUGUUCAGGAAAGCAUGAUACUACCCUCAUCUUAGCUGUAUUUAUAAUUAGUCGGUCAAAAAAUGCUAUUCAAUGCAGAAAAGCCGAAGAAUGUAUGUGCAACUGUUCAAGAGCUGGGGUACAAGACGGUCAUGCUAGCAUAAAAUCAUUGGCUGCCAGAGAGCAACGCCUGAAUACAACUUUGGCCGUGUUUUAUAGUAUCAGGCACUAAUGGGGGAGCAUAAUACCAGAGACUUCUGAUAUGUCACCAAGCAUGUUUGGUGUUUAUAAAGAUACUGAUGUUGUUUCUCAUGUUUCGUGCUCCUUAGCAGUUGUAUGUUUAAUUGAGAGUAAAAAUAGAAUAGAAAAGAGUUGACAACUUGACAACUUUGGUGCAAAGGUGACGCUCUGAGUGUAUUGUGUAAGUAAAGGUUGUCAUUGCACCAUCAAUAAUGGAUUCAAUUUUUGUGUUCUCUCUGGUCUUUGUGGGUCUGAUCCAGUUUUAUUUGGUGGGUUUUCCUCUUUAUGAUGCAAAACAAGUCAGCUAGGAUUAGGUUAGAUCGGCAGUUCAAUUCUCCAUCAAUGU
rnacentral:lncRNA from 1 species